rnacentral:rRNA from 1 species
CCUACGGGAGGCAGCAGUGGGGAAUUUUGGACAAUGGGGGAAACCCUGAUCCAGCAAUGCCGCGUGUGUGAAGAAGGCCUUCGGGUUGUAAAGCACUUUUGUCCGGAAAGAAAACUUCUGCCCUAAUACGGUGGGAGGAUGACGGUACCGGAAGAAUAAGCACCGGCUAACUACGUGCCAGCAGCCGCGGUAAUACGUAGGGUGCGAGCGUUAAUCGGAAUUACUGGGCGUAAAGCGUGCGCAGGCGGUUCGUUAAGACAGAUGUGAAAUCCCCGGGCUUAACCUGGGAACUGCAUUUGUGACUGGCGAGCUAGAGUAUGGCAGAGGGGGGUAGAAUUCCACGUGUAGCAGUGAAAUGCGUAGAGAUGUGGAGGAAUACCGAUGGCGAAGGCAGCCCCCUGGGCCAAUACUGACGCUCAUGCACGAAAGCGUGGGGAGCAAACAGGAUUAGAUACCCUGGUAGUCCACGCCCUAAACGAUGUCAACUAGUUGUUGGGUCUUACAUNUACUAGUACGUAGUCUACGCGUGUAGUGCGCCGUGGAGGUAGGUCGCGAGAUAACUACGAAGAAGUAGACGCGUGAGAGUGCGACGACGACGACGAGGGAGGAGG